CCGAGUCCUCGCUGGUCCCUUUGCUUUUCAGAGUCCUGCCGCCUGUGUGCACGCAUUUUUGCUGGGUGUUUUUUGAGUAGUUUUAUUACUGCUUUUUGAUCGCGCAUGCACGGCGCUGCAGGGUUCGUGUUCACGGGUGGGAUCCUCUGUGCUGCACACGUGCAGCCUUAUUUGCAGUGUUAACGAGCAGAAGAGCCCAGCCCGUGCUUAGGUUUGGAAAGAGCGCAGCAAUGCACAAGAUGGACGUUUCAAACAAGGCAGGAGCCCAGGAUAGACAAUUGGAGCACAUCCAGCAGAGCACCAAGGAGCUCUACAAGAGCCACAGCCCUAAAUACUCACGGUGGCAUCCUGUCAACCUCACCGUUCUUAACUGGCCCCAGGAUGGGAUGAGGUGCUCAAGUCUGCAGCUUGUUCCCAUUCACACGUGGAUCUGUCAUCACUGGCCUCAUUAGGGAGAUCUGGGCCCACCACUGAGGAUCAGUAUGAAAGUUCUACCAGCAUCAGUCUUCAGAAUCAUCUUCAGAAGCUGUUGGAACAACACAGUGUAAUCAGAAACCUUGAUAAAAAUGUAUGAAAUUAAAGCACUUGAGGAUGAGUAGAGGAAAUAAAGGUGAUUUUAUUAUAUAAAA